GCUAUUAUGUUUUUUUUGGUGCUACCCAUUUAUUUUUUCUGAAACUUAUGUUUUUCUUAGUGUUCAUUCAUAGACGUCAUUGAAGUACAACUUGGUAAACUACAAAACACAUCAAAUUCAGUUAUAAAAAUUUGAGUAACAAAGGUAUACUAACUAUUGUAUUUCCUGAAAGAGUGUCAUUGCUAUUAAAAGCAGUGAAGAAUUCAAAUACUCUGGAAGAAAAGAAAAUACGUCAAUUAUUUGGCACAAAUCGGAGUUAAAGACAAAGGAGAUUGUAUAUUUUAUUUGCUAAGAAUAGUUUUU